rnacentral:lncRNA from 13 species
GACUCUGGGACAUCUGGGGCCUAUAGGAACCCUGGGUGGGCAAAACCUGAGCCUGGAGAGGCCAGCAUGAGGCAUGAGCUGGGUAGUCCUGGAAAGCCUGAGUCGAGGGCCUGAGCUUUUGGUCCUACAAAGGCCUCCAGGAGCUAGGGAGGAGCCGAGCAACAGAGGUUGCUGCGAGGUGAGGACAAAAGGUUGGCCCUAAGAAGCUGCCAGAAGGAGGGGCCGGGACCAAAGAGGCUGACAUUCUGGACAAGGAGAGGAUGCCAGAAGGCCAACGCUAGGCACAGAGGGCCGCCUGGGGGCACCGGUUUGGCCCGAUGGGGCCACCAGGAGGCCAGGAGCUGGGCCUGUGGAGACAGGCUGCCACAGAGGCAGGAGCUGGGCUGAGCGCAGACCAUGAUGAGGCCAUAAGCUGGGUCUGGAGGGUCCACUGUUAGGUGGAGGCUGGGCCCAGAGGGGCUUAGCGCAGGCAGGAGCCAGGCCUGGAGAGGCUGGGCCCGGAGAGGAAGCUUCGGGCCUGGACAGGCCGCUGGGAGGUAGGAGCUGGCCGGAGAGUUUAUGAGAGGCGAGCUGGGCCGAGAAAGGCCGGUGCGAGGGAGGACCUGGGCCCAGAAUCAAGGCCAGCACCAGGUGAGAUCUGGGUCCAGAGACAUGUGCUAGAGGCCAAGCUGGGCCUCAACUGGCCAGUGUGAGGGAGGCGCUGGGUUUGUGGACGAAGUCGGGAGGUAGGCAGGAUCUUGGCCUGGGGAAGCGGCCGGCACACAGUGGAUGGUGCUGGGGGUGCUGUAGGGAGGCCAGAAGUGGGCAUGGAGAGGCCGAUGUCAGGAUGUAGCUGGGCCUGUCUAGGCCACCGGGAGGCAGAAGGGACACCCCGAAAUCCCCAAGGAAGCUUCGGGCCGACAGACGAGAGGCCGUCGGGAGCUGGCCAGGCGCCGAGCCAAAAGAGGCCGCCAGGGGGCAAAACAUUGGCAGAUAGACGCAGCCAGGAUGAUGAUCCGGGUGUGUGGGGGCCGGCAGUAGGGAGGCAGAGGCUGGGCCUCGCGAAGAGGCUGACAGAAGGCAGGAGCUGUGUCCCAGGCGGCCGUUGGGAGGCAGGAGCUUGCCCUGGAGGAGCCCAUGUUGGGGGGCUGCCGGGAAGGCAGAAGCUGGGCCUGCAGAGGCUGCCGAAAGGCAGAAGCUUGGCCUGGGGGCACUGUGGUGAGGCACACGCUUGGCCUGGGGUGUCUGCUGUGAGGCAGAGUUUAAACCUAUUGGGGCCGACUGGAAGCAGGAGUUGGACCUGGAAUGGCAGAUUUGAGAAAUCUGUCAGUCCGGAGAGGCCACAGAGAUACAGGAACUGGGCCUCAAGAGGCUGCCGAAAGGCAUGAGCUGUACCUAAAGAGUCCAGUGUGAGACAGAAGCUGUGCCUGAAGACGGUGACUAGAAGACGUUUUGGCCUGGACAGCCUGUCAGGGGACAGAUGCUGGGUCUGGAGAGGCCACUGUGACCUGGUCCUAAUGAGGUUAGAGUGAGGCAACACCUGGGCUUCUCAA